AUUUUUUAGCUUGUCGCAUCAUUUGGCGAGAGAAAGGGAAGCAAUUUUUAGCUGACUUUGAGAA
rnacentral:lncRNA from 1 species